rnacentral:rRNA from 1 species
UGGGGAAUAUUACACAAUGGGCGAAAGUCUGAUGCAGCGACGCCGCGUGAGGGAUGACGGCCUUCGGGUUGUAAACCUCUUUCAGCAGGGACGAAGCGCAAGUGACGGUACCUGCAGAAGAAGCACCGGCUAACUACGUGCCAGCAGCCGCGGUAAUACGUAGGGUGCAAGCGAUGUCCGGAAUUACUGGGCGGAAAGAGUUCGUAGGCGGUUUGUUGCGUCGUUUGUGAAAACCAGCAGCUCAACAGCUGGCUGGCAGGCGAUACGGGCAGACUUGAGUACUGAAGGGGAGACUGGGAUUCCUGGUGUAGCGGUGAAAUGCGCGGAUAUCAGGGGGAACACCGGUAGCGAAGGCGGGUCUCUGUGCAGUAACUGACGCUGAGGAACGAAAGCGUGGGUAGCGAACAGG